AUACGGAGGGUGCGAGCGUUGUUCGGAAUCACUGGGCGUAAAGGGCGCGCAGGCGGAUUGGUAAGUCAGAUGUGAAAGCCCACGGCUUAACUGUGGAAGUGCAUUUGAAACUGUCAGUCUUGAGUACCAGAGGGGAAAGUGGAAUUCCCGGUGUAGAGGUGAAAUUCGUAGAUAUCGGGAGGAAUACCGGUGGCGAAGGCGACUUUCUGGCUGGAUACUGACGCUGAGGCGCGAAAGCGUGGGGAGCAAACAGGAUUAGAAACCCUAGUAGUCC
rnacentral:rRNA from 1 species